rnacentral:rRNA from 1 species
AUUGAACGCUGGCGGCAUGCUUUACACAUGCAAGUCGAACGGUAACAGGCCGCAAGGUGCUGACGAGUGGCGAACGGGUGAGUAAUGCAUCGGAACGUGCCCAGUCGAGGGGGAUAACUGCUCGAAAGAGCAGCUAAUACCGCAUACGAUCUAUGGAUGAAAGCGGGGGACCGUAAGGCCUCGCGCGAUUGGAGCGGCCGAUGUCAGAUUAGGUAGUUGGUGGGGUAAAGGCUCACCAAGCCAACGAUCUGUAGCUGGUCUGAGAGGACGACCAGCCACACUGGGACUGAGACAAGGCCCAGACUCCUACGGGAGGCAGCAGUGGGGAAUUUUGGACAAUGGGGGCAACCCUGAUCCAGCAAUGCCGCGUGCAGGAAGAAGGCCUUCGGGUUGUAAACUGCUUUUGUACGGAACGAAACGGUCUGGGUUAAUACCCUGGGCUAAUGACGGUACCGUAAGAAUAAGCACCGGCUAACUACGUGCCAGCCGCCGCCGUAAUAC